GACGAACGCUGGCGGCGUGCCUAAUACAUGCAAGUAGAACGCUGAAGAGAGGAGCUUGCUCUUCUUGGAUGAGUUGCGAACGGGUGAGUAACGCGUAGGUAACCUGCCUUGUAGCGGGGGAUAACUAUUGGAAACGAUAGCUAAUACCGCAUAACAAUGGAUGACACAUGUCAUUUAUUUGAAAGGGGCAAUUGCUCCACUACAAGAUGGACCUGCGUUGUAUUAGCUAGUAGGUGAGGUAACGGCUCACCUAGGCGACGAUACAUAGCCGACCUGAGAGGGUGAUCGGCCACACUGGGACUGAGACACGGCCCAGACUCCUACGGGAGGCAGCAGUAGGGAAUCUUCGGCAAUGGGGGCAACCCUGACCGAGCAACGCCGCGUGAGUGAAGAAGGUUUUCGGAUCGUAAAGCUCUGUUGUAAGUCAAGAACGAGUGUGAGAGUGGAAAGUUCACACUGUGACGGUAGCUUACCAGAAAGGGACGGCUAACUACGUGCCAGCAGCCGCGGUAAUACGUAGGUCCCGAACGUUGUCCGGAUUUAUUGGGCGUAAAGCGAGCGCAGGCGGUUUGAUAAGUCUGAAGUUAAAGGCUGUGGCUCAACCAUAGUUCGCUUUGGAAACUGUCAAACUUGAGUGCAGAAGGGGAGAGUGGAAUUCCAUGUGUAGCGGUGAAAUGCGUAGAUAUAUGGAGGAACACCGGUGGCGAAAGCGGCUCUCUGGUCUGUAACUGACGCUGAGGCUCGAAAGCGUGGGGAGCGAACAGGAUUAGAUACCCUGGUAGUCCACGCCGUAAACGAUGAGUGCUAGGUGUUGGAUCCUUUCCGGGAUUCAGUGCCGCAGCUAACGCAUUAAGCACUCCGCCUGGGGAGUACGACCGCAAGGUUGAAACUCAAAGGAAUUGACGGGGGCCCGCACAAGCGGUGGAGCAUGUGGUUUAAUUCGAAGCAACGCGAAGAACCUUACCAGGUCUUGACAUCCCGAUGCUAUUUCUAGAGAUAGAAAGUUACUUCGGUACAUCGGUGACAGGUGGUGCAUGGUUGUCGUCAGCUCGUGUCGUGAGAUGUUGGGUUAAGUCCCGCAACGAGCGCAACCCCUAUUGUUAGUUGCCAUCAUUCAGUUGGGCACUCUAGCGAGACUGCCGGUAAUAAACCGGAGGAAGGUGGGGAUGACGUCAAAUCAUCAUGCCCCUUAUGACCUGGGCUACACACGUGCUACAAUGGUUGGUACAACGAGUUGCGAGUCGGUGACGGCAAGCUAAUCUCUUAAAGCCAAUCUCAGUUCGGAUUGUAGGCUGCAACUCGCAGACAGGAAGUCGGAAUCGCUAGUAAUCGCGGAUCAGCACGCCGCGGUGAAUACGUUCCCGGGCCU
rnacentral:rRNA from 1 species